AGAGUUUGGUCAUGGCUCAGAUUGAACGCUGGCGGCAGGCCUAACACAUGCAAGUCGAACGGUAACAGGAAGCAGCUUGCUGCUUCGCUGACGAGUGGCGGACGGGUGAGUAAUGUCUGGGAAGCUGCCUGAUGGAGGGGGAUAACUACUGGAAACGGUAGCUAAUACCGCAUAAUGUCGCAAGACCAAAGAGGGGGACCUUCGGGCCUCUUGCCAUCGGAUGUGCCCAGAUGGGAUUAGCUUGUUGGUGGGGUAACGGCUCACCAAGGCGACGAUCCCUAGCUGGUCUGAGAGGAUGACCAGCCACACUGGAACUGAGACACGGUCAGACUCCUACGGGAGGCAGCAGUGGGGAAUAUUGCACAAUGGGCGCAAGCCUGAUGCAGCCAUGCCGCGUGUAUGAAGAAGGCCUUCGGGUUGUAAAGUACUUUCAGCGGGGAGGAAGGGAGUAAAGUUAAUACCUUUGCUCAUUGACGUUACCCGCAGAAGAAGCACCGGCUAACUCCGUGCCAGCAGCCGCGGUAAUACGGAGGGUGCAAGCGUUAAUCGGAAUUACUGGGCGUAAAGCGCACGCAGGCGGUUUGUUAAGUCAGAUGUGAAAUCCCCGGGCUCAACCUGGGAACUGCAUCUGAUACUGGCAAGCUUGAGUCUCGUAGAGGGGGGUAGAAUUCCAGGUGUAGCGGUGAAAUGCGUAGAGAUCUGGAGGAAUACCGGUGGCGAAGGCGGCCCCCUGGACGAAGACUGACGCUCAGGUGCGAAAGCGUGGGGAGCAAACAGGAUUAGAUACCCUGGUAGUCCACGCCGUAAACGAUGUCGACUUGGAGGUUGUGCCCUUGAGGCGUGGCUUCCGGAGCUAACGCGUUAAGUCGACCGCCUGGGGAGUACGGCCGCAAGGUUAAAACUCAAAUGAAUUGACGGGGGCCCGCACAAGCGGUGGAGCAUGUGGUUUAAUUCGAUGCAACGCGAAGAACCUUACCUGGUCUUGACAUCCACGGAAGUUUUCAGAGAUGAGAAUGUGCCUUCGGGAACCGUGAGACAGGUGCUGCAUGGCUGUCGUCAGCUCGUGUUGUGAAAUGUUGGGUUAAGUCCCGCAACGAGCGCAACCAUUAUCCUUUGUUGCCAGCGGUCCGGCCGGGAACUCAAAGGAGACUGCCAGUGAUAAACUGGAGGAAGGUGGGGAUGACGUCAAGUCAUCAUGGCCCUUACGACCAGGGCUACACACGUGCUACAAUGGCGCAUACAAAGAGAAGCGACCUCGCGAGAGCAAGCGGACCUCAUAAAGUGCGUCGUAGUCCGGAUUGGAGUCUGCAACUCGACUCCAUGAAGUCGGAAUCGCUAGUAAUCGUGGAUCAAAAUGCCACGGUGAAUACGUUCCCGGGCCUUGUACACACCGCCCGUCACACCAUGGGAGUGGGUUGCAAAAGAAGUAGGUAGCUUAACCUUCGGGAGGGCGCUUACCACUUUGUGAUUCAUGACUGGGGUGAAGUCGUAACAAGGUG
rnacentral:rRNA from 1 species